GCCAGUGUGGUAUAGAGGUCUGAACACUGGACUAGACUCUGGAGAUCAGGGUUUGAUUCCCUGCUUGGGCA